rnacentral:rRNA from 1 species
GAUGAACGCUGACAGAAUGCUUAACACAUGCAAGUCAUUGGCGAAGCUGCGCUUGCGCAGUCUAGCCAAGGCGGACGGGUGAGUAACGCGUAAGGAACUUGCCCUGCAGACAGGGAUAACAGACGGAAACGACUGAUAACACCUGUAUUGUCAGGCUGGCGCAUGCCGGCCUGAUGAAAGGAGACGCUGCAGGAGAGCCUUGCGUCCUAUUAGCUAGUUGGUGGGGUAACGGCCCACCAAGGCGAUGAUAGGUAGCCGGCCUGAGAGGGUGAACGGCCACAAGGGGACUGAGAUACGGCCCUUACUCCUACGGGAGGCAGCAGUGGGGAAUAUUGGACAAUGGGGGCAACCCUGAUCCAGCAAUUCUGUGUGCACGAAGAAGGUUUUCGGAUUGUAAAGUGCUUUCAGCAGGGAAGAAGAAAGUGACGGUACCUGCAGAAGAAGCGACGGCUAAAUACGUG